rnacentral:rRNA from 1 species
UACGUAGGUCCCGAGCGUUGUCCGGAUUUAUUGGGCGUAAAGCGAGCGCAGGUGGCUUAUUAAGUCUGGUGUAAAAGGCAGUGGUUCAACCAUUGUAUGCAUUGGAAACUGGUAGACUUGAGUGCAGGAGAGGAGAGUGGAAUUCCAUGUGUAGCGGUGAAAUGCGUAGAUAUAUGGAGGAACACCGGUGGCGAAAGCGGCUCUCUGGCCUGUAACUGACACUGAGGCUCGAAAGCGUGGGGAGCAAACAGG